GGCGGUUCUCGGGUGACAUGCCCCGGAAUUGGGCUCCCUCCUUUCUGGUUCCGGGUGCAUCACCCAAGAACUGCA
rfam:Myotis brandtii contig260885, whole genome shotgun sequence.